rnacentral:rRNA from 1 species
UACGUAGGGUGCAAGCGUUAAUCGGAAUUACUGGGCGUAAAGCGUGCGCAGGCGGUGAUGUAAGACAGGUGUGAAAUCCCCGGGCUUACCCUGGGAACUGCAUUUGUGACUGCAUCGCUGGAGUGCGGCAGAGGGGGAUGGAAUUCCGCGUGUAGCAGUGAAAUGCGUAGAUAUGCGGAGGAACACCGAUGGCGAAGGCAAUCCCCUGGGCCUGCACUGACGCUCAUGCACGAAAGCGUGGGGAGCAAACAGG